rnacentral:rRNA from 1 species
UACAGAGGUCCCAAGCGUUGUUCGGAUUCACUGGGCGUAAAGGGUGCGUAGGCGGUCGGGUAAGUCUGAUGUGAAAUCUCACAGCUUAAUUGUGAAACUGCAUUGGAUACUAUCCGGCUCGAGGAAUGGAGGGGAGACUGGAAUACUUGGUGUAGCAGUGAAAUGCGUAGAGAUCCGGAAGAACACCGGUGGCGAAGGCGGCCUGCUGGGCAGUGGCUGACGCUGAGGCGCGACAGCGUGGGGAGCAAACAGG